UACGGGGGGGGCAAGCGUUGUUCGGAAUUACUGGGCGUAAAGGGCGCGUAGGCGGCCUGCUAAGUCGGACGUGAAAUCCCCCGGCUCAACUGGGGAACUGCAUCCGAUACUGGAUGGCUUGAGUUUGGGAGAGGGAUGCGGAAUUCCAGGUGUAGCGGUGAAAUGCGUAGAUAUCUGGAGGAACACCGGUGGCGAAGGCGGCAUCCUGGACCAUGACUGACGCUGAGGAGCGAAAGCCAGGGGAGCAAACGGG
rnacentral:rRNA from 1 species